rnacentral:rRNA from 1 species
CCAGACUCCUACGGGAGGCAGCAGUGGGGGAUAUUGCACAAUGGGGGGAACCCUGAUGCAGCGACGCCGCGUGGGUGAAGAAGCGCCCCGGCGCGUAAAGCCCUGUCAGCAGGGAAGAAAAUGACGGUACCUGAAGAAGAAGCCCCGGCUAACUACGUGCCAGCAGCCGCGGUAAUACGUAGGGGGCAAGCGUUAUCCGGAUUUACUGGGUGUAAAGGGGGCGCAGACGGCGAUGCAAGCCAGGAGUGAAAGCCCGGGGCCCAACCCCGGGACUGCUCUUGGAACUGCGUGGCUGGAGUGCAGGAGGGGCAGGCGGAAUUCCUGGUGUAGCGGUGAAAUGCGUAGAUAUUAGGAGGAACACCAGUGGCGAAGGCGGCUUACUGGACUGUAACUGACGUUGAGGCUCGAAAGCGUGGGGAGCAAACAGGAUUAGAUACCCUAGUA